UACGUAGGGGGCAAGCGUUGUCCGGAUUUAUUGGGCGUAAAGAGCGUGUAGGCGGCCAGGCAGGUCCGUUGUGAAAACUCGAGGCUCAACCUCGAGACGUCGAUGGAAACCGUCUGGCUAGAGUCCGGAAGAGGAGAGUGGAAUUCCUGGUGUAGCGGUGAAAUGCGCAGAUAUCAGGAAGAACACCUAUGGCGAAGGCAGCUCUCUGGGACGGUACUGACGCUGAGGAGCGAAAGCGUGGGGAGCAAACAGG
rnacentral:rRNA from 1 species